rnacentral:snRNA from 1 species
GUAUUUGCUUCACCAGCACUUAUACUAAAAUUGGAACAAUAUAGAGAAGAUUAGAAUAGCCCCUGCACAACAUUUCACCCAACAGCUAUAGAAUAUACAAUCUUUU